AAACAAGCUUUUAAGAGCAGAUGGCGGAUGCCUUGCCAAAGAGAGGCGAUGAAGGACGUACUAGACUGCGAUAAGCUAUGCGGAGCUGUCAAGGAGCUUUGAUGCGUAGAUGUCCGAAUGGGGCAACCCAACUAAUAGAGAUAUUAGUUACUCUAAUACAGAGAGCGAACCUAGUGAAGUGAAACAUCUCAGUAACUAGAGGAAAAGAAAUCAACGAGAUUCCCUAAGUAGUGGCGAGCGAACGGGGAAAAGGGCAAACCGAGUGCUUGCAUUCGGGGUUGAGGACUGCAACAUCCAAGAGAACGCUUUAGCAGAGUUACCUGGAAAGGUAAGCCAUAGAAAGUGAUAGCCUUGUAUGCGACAAGGCGUUUUUAGGUAGCAGUAUCCAGAGUAGGCCAGGACACGAGAAAUCCAGGUUGAAGCCGGGGAGACCACUCUCCAACCCUAAAUACUACUCUUUGAGCGAUAGCGAACAAGUACCGUGAGGGAAAGGUGAAAAGAACCGCAGUGAGCGGAGUGAAAUAGAACCUGAAACCAUCUGCUUACAAUCAUUCAGAGCCCUAUGAUUUAUCAGGGUGAUGGACUGCCUUUUGCAUAAUGAUCCUGCGAGUUGUGGUAUCUGGCAAGGUUAAGCGAAUGCGAAGCCGUAGCGAAAGCGAGUCUUAAUAGGGCGCUUGAGUCAGAUGCUGCAGACCCGAAGCUAAGUGAUCUAUCCAUGGCCAAGUUGAAACGCGUGUAAUAGCGCGUGGAGGACUGAACUCGUACCCAUUGAAACGGGUUGGGAUGAGCUGUGGAUAGGGGUGAAAGGCCAAACAAACUUAGUGAUAGCUGGUUCUCUUCGAAAUAUAUUUAGGUAUAGCCUCAAGUGAUAAUAAAAGGGGGUAGAGCCCUGAUUGGGCUAGGGCUGCUCGCCGCGGUACCAAACCCUAUCAAACUUCGAAUACCUUUUAUCGUAUCUUGGGAGUCAGGCGGUGGGUGAUAAAAUCAAUCGUCAAAAGGGGAACAACCCAGACUACCAAAUAAGGUCCCUAAGUUCUAUUCUGAGUGGAAAAAGAUGUGUGGCUACUCAAACAACCAGGAGGUUGGCUUAGAAGCAGCCAUCCUUUAAAGAAAGCGUAACAGCUCACUGGUCUAGUGGUCAUGCGCUGAAAAUAUAACGGGGCUAAGAUAGACACCGAAUUUGUAGAUUGUGUUAAACACAGUGGUAGAAGAGCGUUCAUACCAGCGUUGAAGGUAUACCGGUAAGGAGUGCUGGAGCGGUAUGAAGUGAGCAUGCAGGAAUGAGUAACGAUAAGAUAUAUGAGAAUUGUAUCCGCCGUAAAUCUAAGGUUUCCUACGCGAUGGUCGUCAUCGUAGGGUUAGUCGGGUCCUAAGCCGAGUCCGAAAGGGGUAGGUGAUGGCAAAUUGGUUAAUAUUCCAAUACCGACUAUGGAGCGUGAUGGGGGGACGCAUAGGGUUAAGCGAGCUAGCUGAUGGAAGCGCUAGUCUAAGGGCGUAGAUUGGAGGGAAGGCAAAUCCACCUCUGUAUUUGAAACCCAAACAGGCUCUUUGAGUCCUUUUAGGACAAAGGGAGAAUCGCUGAUACCGUCGUGCCAAGAAAAGCCUCUAAGCAUAUCCAUAGUCGUCCGUACCGCAAACC
rnacentral:rRNA from 1 species